UUGGAGGGCAAGUCUGGUGCCAGCAGCCGCGGUAAUUCCAGCUCCAAUAGCGUAUAUUAAAGUUGUUGCAGUUAAAAAGCUCGUAGUUGAACUUCGGGGUUUACCCAUUGGUCAGGCUUAAUUGUCUGUACUGGUGAGAUGAAUCUCUACCUUCUGAGGAACUUUCAUGCCAUUUAUUUGGUGUGAUGGGAAAUCAGGACUGUUACUUUGAAAAAAUUAGAGUGUUUAAAGCAGGCUAACGUCUGAAUACAUUAGCAUGGAAUAAUGAAAUAGGACGGACUGAUUCUAUUUCGUUGGUUUCUAGGAUCACCGUAAUGAUUAAUAGGGAUAGUUGGGGGCAUUAGUAUUCAAUUGUCAGAGGUGAAAUUCUUGGAUUUAUUGAAGACUAACUACUGCGAAAGCAUUUGCCAAGGAUGUUUUCAUUAAUCAAGAACGAAAGUUAGGGGAUCGAAGACGAUCAGAUACCGUCGUAGUCUUAACCAUAAACUAUGCCGACUAGGGAUCGGACGAAGUUAAUUUUAUAAUGACGCGUUCGGCACCCUACGGGAAACCAAAGUGUUUGGGUUC
rnacentral:rRNA from 1 species